GAUGAACGCUGGCGGCGUGCCUAACACAUGCAAGUCGAGCGGAGAAAAGGUGGUUUUUCUUGGGUUCGGUGAGGGGCGGACGGGUGAGUAACACGUGAGUAACCGGCCGUCGGGGUUGGGAUAACGCCAGGAAACCUGAUCUAGUACUGGAUAUUCGCUGGAAAGCGGAGGGGCGUUGGUGGAAAGGCUUUUUGAUGUGCCUUGGGCGGUUUAGCUAGUUGGUGGGGUUAGGGGGGAGCAUGGCUACGAUCCGUAACGGGUCUGAGAGGCUGAUCAGUCACACUGGAACUUAGACAUGGUCCAGACUCCUAAGGGAUGCAGCAGGGGGGAAUGUUGAACAAUGGGCGAAAGCCUGAAGCAGCAAGGCCGCGUGUGUGAUGAAGGUCUUCGGAUUGUAAAGCGCUAUCCUUUGGGACGAAGGGCAGUGACGGAACUCCUGGUUGUGUUGACGUUACCAACUAAAGAAGCACCGGCUAACUACGUG
rnacentral:rRNA from 1 species